GAUGAACGCUGGCGGCGUGCCUAAUACAUGCAAGUCGAGCGAACAGAUGAGGAGCUUGCUCCUCUGUCGUUAGCGGCGGAAGGGUGAGUAACAUGUGGAUCACCUCCUUAUCAGACUGGGAUAACUUCGGGAAACCGGAGCUAACACCGGAUAAUAUAUUGAACCGCAUGGUUCAAUAGUGAAAGACGGUUUUGCUGUCACUAAUAGAUGGAUCCGCGCCGCAUUAGCUAGUUGGUAAGGUAACGGCUUACCACGGCGACGAUGCGUAACCGACCGGAUCGGGUGAUCGGCCACACUGGAACGGAGACACGAUCCUGACUACUACGAGAGGCAGCAGAAGGGAAACUUCGGCAAUAGGCGAAAGCCUGACGCAGCAACGCCGCGUGAGUAACAAAAGUCUUCGGAUCGUAAAGCACUGUUAUUAGGGAAGAACAAAUGUGUAAUUAACUAUGCAGGUCGUGACGGUACCUGGUCAAAAAGCCACGGCUAACUACGUG
rnacentral:rRNA from 1 species